rnacentral:lncRNA from 1 species
ACAGUCGAAUGGCGAGCGUAGAGUCGAACGGUAGCAUUGAACGAGCGACGAUUACGACCAGCAUAUAGUAUCUCUGUACUUGUAUUUAAAGUGAUUUUAAUAUACAUCGACUAUUACAAUUUUCUCACUCGUCUCUUUAAUAAACCAAUCAACAGGAUAGAAAAGUAGCGCUAAAAUAAUAGUAUCGAUGCUAUGCAAGGGAGCUCCAAUCACAAGAUCAAACAAACUUUCGUAUUCGCCCAGGAAUUCGAGGAAUCCACUUUCCCCGUGCGAUCUCCAGCCAUUCUGUCGCGUGUUACGGAACGCGAUUUCAGGCCUCGAAGAAGCUGGGGCGACGAUCCGACGAAACGAUUUCGUUAUGCGAGCUCACGCACGUGCGUCCGCGUCGCCGGAGACGAAAUCCGUAGCUGGCGAGUAUUCGCGGCUUACAGUGAAAAGAGGGUGUGGGCGGUUCGACGUGCGUGCGUGAUCGUGAUCAGGAUGGCGAGUCGAGGUCGUCGUCAUAAGCCGCUCGUGCGCGCUACGGGCCGAUCCAAAUCUCACGGUCGAACCGAAAACGAACAAGCCGAACGUGUCGUUGCAUUCUCUGAUAGAUAGUUGGAACUUAUCGUCAAUCGACCGCUACCUUAUAGAAGAUUUCCUGCGCUCGAUACGUGGAUUGAAAUUGUUGACGUUGAUGAGAUGAAAUUGUAAGGCACGAAUUUAGGGAUGUUUUUAUGCGUUUCGUUGAUAGUUUCGUUAGAGAUUUUAAAAGUUUCGUUACGAUCAGACUCGGGAUUUUUACGCAAAUAAAAAAAGAUUUCUUUUAACUUAUUAAGGAUUAACGUUGCAUCAACAAUAUUAUUUUAAUUCUUUUUCAUUCAAUUUACUUUGUUGGGUGCUGUUUUCUACAUUGUGCCUAUGAAGUGGAAUUUCAGGGAAUUCUUAAUAUUUUUUUCGUUGCUAUUUAUUCCAUCUAAAUUAUACAAUUCUAUGGAAUUUAAAGAAAUUGAACUCUUCGUAAUAUUACGAUAAAAUAUUGCCUGAUCCUUAGUGGGUUAAAUUAUAAUGGAGAAAAUAAAAAUUCGCUUCGCCAUGUAGAUUUAUUGGAAUUAAAGAUUUGUUUCUUUAGUCUGAAUAUUUUUUAAAAUGUUUAUGUAGCAUACCCUGUGCAUUGGAGAUAUUUAAAUGUUCCAUAAAUGCAUAGUAAAUGUCACUAAUUAGCACUGAUAAAACAUGAUGGAUUUGUUACCAGGGUUCUUUUGAAACGUCAGGGUAGCUUUAUAGAAAUACGAUUAAAUUAACGAACAUUUAGCUGUUUCGUGAAGUCACGAAUUAAGAGCAUUACUUACAAUUAAUUUAGAUAUGUUAAUGUAUCAUUUUGAGUAAUAGGAAUUGUAUAAAUUUGCUUAUCUAUAUACUGAGAAUGUUUCUGCAUUUACAUGAAAUUUAAAUGUAUGAAAACGUAGAAAACUUAUGCACUUACGUACAAAGAUACAUGUAUAAACAAAUGUCUAUUUAGAUUCUAUAUCUCGAGCCAUAUUUAUAAGAAUGUACAUGCAGUCUAGUUACUUUAUAUACAGUUACUUGCUAAACAAUUAAAAUAAUUCUAUAUAGAAGAUUCGAUAUCCUUAUGAAGCUCGAUUGAAUUUAUCAAUCUGGAUUUAUGCACGUAGAUGGUACCGCGAAAAGAUCGAUAAAAAGUCGUACAAAAACACAGGAAUAUUCAUUCUUCUCAAACAGUAUAUCCAAGCGAUGUGUCCUAUUUCCGCAAGCGUAAUGACCAAACAGAAACGACAACAAUUCACCUAGGAUUAAAUCGUUGCGCGGGUAGACGAACCCAUUUUACAAUGUUCCUAUCGUUAAUCUCGAAGAAGAGGCAGCAGUUCGCGGGGGAUCGUUCGAAAAGGUUCUCCCACAAACGUUGGUCCGUUCCUUUGUUUACGCGCGUAUGAAUUACGAUGCGGCGCAUAAAUCACCGAAUAAUACCUGACAAAUCCAGCGGCGAUAAAUAAUGGAACGGCCAGCAAGUAAGCUACCGUGGUCAACGUGAACUCUGUCAGUCCGCGACGGUUAAUAUCCCUGACGCGUACGUUUACGCGCCAUUUGCUCGCCGAUUUACAACUGGUCCCCGGUAGAAAUUGGACGUCGCGUUAACAGAUUCCGGUUAUGCUUUCCUUUCCUUGCUCCACGGGAAAAGAUUCUACGGACGACUCGGAUAUAGAGACCCAGGCAGCAAAAGCGAUCAGAGUUCAGAAUGAUAGGAGCGACGAGCAGAAGAAAGAAAGUCGAGGACAAAGUUAACGCGUUGAUCGUCGUGCGAAUUUUGUAUUUUGCAUUUGGAGUCGCGACAGAUUGACGUAUUACUACGCUAUGACGUUUAAUUUUUACAAAAUGUUAUAUAUCGUGUACGCGUAUUUCCUUUAACAAUGUUAUCCAAGUUCUUCGCAUUGUUAAAAAUGUUCUAAUCAUAAGACUGAUUUUAUCUCAAUCGUUCUGAAAGAGUUGGUUACGUGGAUCACCGAUGACCACCAUGGCAAGGAACAUGUUGAGCGAACAUGAUCGACGAGGCAAUGGAGAGACAGCGCAGCUGUACUGCAUUGAUACACCGUAGCGGAGAUAUAAGAAAACUGCGGAAUUUGUGGAAAAUUUAACGACGCAAAAAUGCACAGAAUACGCGUAACAUGCGAAAAUAUUGAGUUAAUCGGCAAGUUUUUCGUUAAUGGUAUACACUUUGGUGUAUUUUAAAAAAAUGACGAGGAACGUUAUAAAAGCAGAGAAUAUGAAAAUACAUGUAUUCGAGAUGGCAUAAAUAAAUUACUCUUUGGUUAAAUAAA